UGAGGAAUAUUGGUCAAUGGUCGGGAGACUGAACCAGCCAAGCCGCGUGAGGGAUGAAGGUGCUAAGCAUUGUAAACCUCUUUUGUCAGGGAACAAAGGCAUCCACGAGUGGAUGUGUGAGUGUACCUGAAGAAAAAGCAUCGGCUAACUCCGUGCCAGCAGCCGCGGUAAUACGGAGGAUGCGAGCGUUAUCCGGAUUUAUUGGGUUUAAAGGGUGCGUAGGCGGCCUGUUAAGUCAGCGGUAAAAGCCCGGGGCUCAACCCCGGCGAGCCGUUGAAACUGGCUGGCUGGAGUUGGCGAGAGGUAUGCGGAAUGCGCGGUGUAGCGGUGAAAUGCUUAGAUAUCGCGCAGAACUCCGAUUGCGAAGGCAGCAUGCCGGCGCCACACUGACGCUGAGGCACGAAAGCGUGGGGAUGCAAAGCAAGGAUUGAGAUACC
rnacentral:rRNA from 1 species